ensembl:lncRNA
AUGUUGGCCCAGUUAUCCAAACUGAUAGUGGAUAUCUCCAUCAGGCCUCCUCAUUGUGAUGUGAUAUUGGAAAUGAUUUUGUGCUGCUGUUUUAUGCGUGCUGUGUUGCAGAGUGAGAAUGCCGAGGUGAAGGAGAGGGAGCUGUCCCUGGAGCUUUCUCGGAUCAGGGAUGAAGUGGUGGUCAGUGUGGGCCGGUGGGAGCGUCUGCAGGGGGAGAAGGCUGAACUGGAGCGCAGUUUUGAGCAGGAGCUGAGGAAGCUGAAGGAGGAGCAGCAGAAGGAGCAGCAGGCUCUGCAGGAGCGACUGAGAGAGGAGCAGAGGAAGGAGACAGAGCUUCUGCAGAAACAGCAGAGCAGCCAGCUACAGCAGCUCCGCUCCCAGCACCAUCAUCAGGUAUGAGACACACACACCUGCUCAUUUGUUUUUAUAGCAUGUUAGGAGAUGAGGUCAUAAAUGUUG